GAUGAAGAACGCAGCGAAAUGCGAUAAGUAAUGUGAAUUGCAGAAUUCAGUGAAUCAUCGAAUCUUUGAACGCACAUUGCGCCCGUCAGUAUUCUGGCGGGCAUGCCUGUUCGAGCGUCAUUACGCCUCUCAAGUCCCCUGUGGACUUGGUGUUGGGGAUCGGCGAGGCUGGUUUUCCAGCACAGCCGUCCCUUAAAUUAAUUGGCGGUCUCGCCGUGGCCCUCCUCUGCGCAGUAGUAAAACACUCGCAACAGGAGCCCGGCGCGGUCCACUGCCGUAAAACCCCCCAACUUUUUAUAGUUGACCUCGAAUCAGGUAGGACUACCCGCUGAACUUAAGCAUAUCAAUAAGCGGAGGA
rnacentral:misc_RNA from 1 species